UAUCUGGUUGAUCCUGCCAGUAGUCAUACGCUCGUCUCAAAGAUUAAGCCAUGCAUGUGUAAGUCUAAAUAGUUUUAGUGUGAAACUGCGAAUGGCUCAUUAUAUCAGUUAUAGUUUAUUUGGAUGAAUUUUUCUAUGGAUAACCGUAGUAAUUCUAGGGCUAAUACAUGUUGUAAUCUCUUUGAGAUUUUCUUAUUAGAAUAAAACCAAUUGUAUUAGUGAGUAAUAAUAAUAGAAUCGAUCGCAUGCUUUUGUAGCGAUAAUCCUUUCAAGUUUCUGCCCUAUCAGCUUUCGAUGGUAGUGUAUUGGACUACCAUGGCAGUAACGGGUAACGAAGAAUUUGGGUUCGAUUUCGGAGAGGGAGCCUGAGAGAUGGCUACCACAUCCAAGGAAGGCAGCAGGCGCGCAAAUUCCCCAAUCCUGACACAGGGAGGUAGUGACAAUAAAUCACAAUGCGGAACC
rnacentral:rRNA from 1 species